rnacentral:misc_RNA from 1 species
CUGGAUCUCAGUGGAUCGUGGCAGCAAGGCCACUCUGCCACUUACAAUGCCCCGUCGCGUUUUAAGUCGUCUGCAAAGGAUUCAGCACGCCGCCCGUUGGGAAGGGAGCUUCGAGGCGGCCCGCCGCGGCGCGUCGGCCGGGCGGGCUGGGCCAAUGGCACGGGCCCUUGGGGCGCGAACGCCCUAACGUGGGUCAGGGCGGGCGAUGUGCCGCCCCAGCCAAACUCCCCACCUGACAAUGUCUUCUGCCCGGAUCGGCCCGGCGAGGCCGGGCCUUGGAGCCAAAAGGAGGGGCGGUGCCCCGCUUCCGACCCACGGAAUAAUUCUGAGUCGGUUGUUCGACGCCUGGGGAAGGCCCCCGAGGGGGCCGUUCCCGGUCCGUCCCCCGGCCGGCACGCGGCGGCCCGCUCUCGCCGCGCGAGCAGCUCGAGCAUUCCGCCAGCAGCCGACGGGUUCGGGGCCGGGACCCCCGAGCCCAACCCUCAGAGCCAAUCCUUUUCCUGA